UGCAAGGUAAGCACCCCCAAAGCAAUAUUGUGAUGUAAGGCUGGUAUACAGUAACAGAGGGCACUGUGAGGCAUCUUACAGCCACCUUCAUUUAGGAUGCUGUUUCUGAGGACCAUGACCCUUCUGUGAACUCCUGCCAUGAACACUGACGUUGACAUUGCUUAUCACUGAAGGAGUCCUAGAGAUAAUCAACUAUCAACUCAAUUGUGUAGAUGCCAUCAGAGGCUCAAAGAGCUCAACUGAGUUAUCCAAAGUCACACAUGAAGUUAGUUAUGCUCUGAGAGAUUUACUGAACAUUUGGACAACCUCACAUCAUAUCAUCUCAAGAUGGCGACUACUGCAUCAUUACAGAGAAAUACCAUAAAGCAGCGAGCUCAGGCAAAUACUAAGUGCUGGAGACUGAGGGCACAAACAUGCCACAGAAACGCAGGAGGCUGCCAGUAUCAGAGGGGCUACACGGGAGGCAUUUCUGCAUGUGUUUCUUUGACAGCGUCUACUGAGUG
rnacentral:lncRNA from 1 species